CCGUUCCCGUAUCAAUGGCGAUAAGGGAAAUUCAUGUUCAUACACCCGGUUGUGUAUGAAUGUGCGCUCCGCAACAGGACCACGCUCGUCCUGUUUCUCGUCACAUGCACUGUGACGAUGCGAUUCCGUGUUGAAUGGCGUUCGUCCCCUGUUUGGGCGACGCCCGGAGGG
rnacentral:sRNA from 17 species